AGAGUUUGAUCAUGGCUCAGGAUGAACGCUAGCGGCAGGCUUAAUAUAUGCAAGUCGAACGGCAGCACGGGGGCAACCCUGGUGGCGAGUGGCGAACGGGUGAGUAAUACAUCGGAACGUGCCCAGUCGUGGGGGAUAACGUAGCGAAAGCUACGCUAAUACCGCAUACGAACUCUGGUUGAAAGCGGGGGAUCGCAAGACCUCGCGCGAUUGGAGCGGCCGAUGGCAGAUUAGGUAGUUGGUGGGGUAAAGGCUCACCAAGCCGACGAUCUGUAGCUGGUCUGAGAGGACGACCAGCCACACUGGGACUGAGACACGGCCCAGACUCCUACGGGAGGCAGCAGUGGGGAAUUUUGGACAAUGGGCGCAAGCCUGAUCCAGCCAUUCCGCGUGCAGGAUGAAGGCCCUCGGGUUGUAAACUGCUUUUGUACGGAACGAAAAGGUUUUCUCUAAUACAGGAAGCUGAUGACGGUACCGUAAGAAUAAGCACCGGCUAACUACGUGCCAGCAGCCGCGGUAAUACGUAGGGUGCAAGCGUUAAUCGGAAUUACUGGGCGUAAAGCGUGCGCAGGCGGUUAUGUAAGACAGGUGUGAAAUCCCCGGGCUUAACCUGGGAACUGCAUUUGUGACUGCAUAGCUAGAGUACGGUAGAGGGGGAUGGAAUUCCGCGUAGCAGUGAAAUGCGUAGAUAUGCGGAGGAACACCGAUGGCGAAGGCAAUCCCCUGGACCUGUACUGACGCUCAUGCACGAAAGCGUGGGGAGCAAACAGGAUUAGAUACCCUAGUAGUCC
rnacentral:rRNA from 1 species